rnacentral:rRNA from 1 species
GGAUUAGAUACCCUGGUAGUCCACGCCGUAAACGAUGAGAACUAGCCGUUGGGAGGUUCGCCUCUUAGUGGCGCAGCUAACGCAAUAAGUUCUCCGCCUGGGGAGUACGGCCGCAAGGUUAAAACUCAAAUGAAUUGACGGGGGCCCGCACAAGCGGUGGAGCAUGUUGUUUAAUUCGAUGCAACGCGAAGAACCUUACCACCCCUUGACAUACUCGGAACUUUCUAGAGAUAGAUUGGUGCCUUCGGGAACCGAGAUACAGGUGCUGCAUGGCUGUCGUCAGCUCGUGCCG